rnacentral:rRNA from 2 species
GUGAUCAAGCUACUAAGGGCGCACGGUGGAUGCCUUGGCACUAACAGCCGAUGAAGGGCGUACCAAGCAACGAAAAGCCUCGGGUAGGCGCAAGGAGCCUCUGAUCCGGGGAUACCCGAAUGGGGCAACCCCUCCACCGUCAUGGGUGGAGAUCCACUCCUGAAUCUAUAGGGAGUGAGAAGGUAAGCCGGUGAAUUGAAACAUCUUAGUAACCGGAGUAAAAGAAAGCGAACGCGAUUCCCCGAGUAGCGGCGAGCGAAACGGGAAGAGCCCAAACCUGUGGGACCUAACGGUCUGCAGACCUGUGUUCCAUGGGAGUUGUGGGGUUGGUUUGGACCAAACUGCUGCGAGGUCGGCAAGUUACCAAUCUCUUUCUUAGUCGAAGUUUUCUGGAAAGUUACGCCAUAGAGGGUGACAGUCCCGUAGGCGAAAAGGAAGAGACUUGCUGGAACCAGUUCCCAAGUAACACGGAGCCCGUGAAACUCUGUGUGAAUCUGCCCCGACCACGGGGUAAGGCUAAAUACUGUUAGUGACCGAUAGUGAACCAGUACCGUGAGGGAAAGGUGAAAAGAACCCCAGUGCGGGGAGUGAAAUAGAACCUGAAACCGUGUGCUUACAAUCAGUCGGAGCCCUAUGGCGGUUCUCCUUUGGGAAAAUCGCAACGGGUGACGGCGUGCCUUUUGUAGAAUGAGCCAACGAGUUAUUGUCUGCAGCGAGGUUAAGGUCGAAGGACCGGAGCCGCAGGGAAACCGAGUCUGAAUAGGGCGUCCCCCGACUUUAUGUCGGGGAAAGUUGCAGGUAGUAGACCCGAAACCGGGUGAGCUAUCCAUGGACAGGCUGAAGUUCCGAUAAUCUCGGAAUGGAGGGCCGAACCAGUACCGGUUGAAAACGGUUUGGAUGAGCUGUGGAUAGAGGUGAAACGCCAAACGAACCCGGCGAUAGCUGGUUCUCCUCGAAAUGCCUUUAGGGGCAGCGUCAGGUGUUCAGUAACGGAGGUAGAGCACUGAAUGGGCUAGGGGGCCUAAAAGCUUACCGAACCUAAUCAAACUCCGAAUGCCGUUACUUCAUAAUCUGGCAGUGAGACAGUGGGGGAUAAGCUUCAUUGUCGAAAGGGAAACAGCCCAGACCGACCGCUAAGGUCCCGAAAUCCAUGCUAAGUGGGAAACGAGGUGGAGUCGCUCAGACAACCAGGAGGUUGGCUUAGAAGCAGCCAUCCUUUAAAAAGUGCGUAAUAGCUUACUGGUCGAGUGAUUCUGCGCGGACAAUGUAACGGGGCUCAAGCAUGGUACCGAAGCGUCGGGUCCGAUGCAAAUCGGGCGGUAGAGGAGCGUUCUGCCGUAGGUUGAAGCCAUACCGUAAGGAGUGGUGGACGAAGCAGAAGUGCGAAUGUUGGCACGAGUAGCGAAAAACAAGGUGAGAAUCCUUGUCGCCGAAAGCCUAAGGGUUCUUCAGCAAGGUUCGUCCGCUGAAGCUUAGCCGGGCCUAAGCCGAGGCCGAAAGGCGUAGGCGAUGGACAGGGCGUGGAUAUUCGUCCGCCACCGGGCCGCGCAAUGACCCUGGGGGGACGCGGGAGGGGAAGUGAGCGCACUAUUGGAUGUGCGUCUUGGCUCGUAAGCUCGAUGCAAAUCGGGAUGAGGAGGCAGGCGAGGUAGUGAUUACAUCAAAGCCAAAGUCAUAGUACCCAUACCGCCAAGAAAAGCCCUAAGGGGAUGUGGUCCCGGUGACCGUACCGCAAACCGACACAGGUAGGCGAGGAGAGAAUCCUCAGGCGCGCGAGAGAACCCUCGUUAAGGAACUCGGCAAAAUGACCCCGUAACUUCGGGAGAAGGGGUACUCCGGUAGGGUGAACGUUUUUACAUCGGGAGCCCGAGGGAGUCGCAGAGAAUCGGCCCAGGCGACUGUUUACCAAAAACACAGGUCUCUGCCAAGCCGUAAGGCGAAGUAUAGGGGCUGACGCCUGCCCAAUGCCAGAAGGUUAAGGGGAUGCGUUAUUCCGAUUUAUCGGGAGAAGCGUUGAACCGAAGCCCUGGUCAAUGGCGGCCGUAACUAUAACGGUCCUAAGGUAGCGAAAUUCCUUGUCGGGUAAGUUCCGACCUGCACGAAUGGCGUAACGAUCUGGGCGCUGUCUCAACGAGGGACUCGGCGAAACUGUAGUAUGCGUGAAGAUGCGCAUUACCCGCGGCAAGACGGAAAGACCCCGUGGAGCUUUACUGCAGCCUGGUAUUGGAUUUUGGUGUAUGCUGCAGAGGAUAGGUGGGAGUCUGUGAAGCGUUGGCUUUGGCUGGCGUGGAGACAACCUUGGAAUACCACCCUUCAUAUACUUGGAUCCUAACCCGGACCGUUAUCCGGUUCGGGAACAGUAUCAGGUGGGUAGUUUGACUGGGGCGGUCGCCUCCUAAAAGGUAACGGAGGCGCCCAAAGGUCUCCUCAGGACGGUUGGAAAUCGUCUGUUGAGUGUAAGGGCACAAGGAGGCUUGACUGCGAGACCUACAAGUCGAGCAGGUGCGAAAGCAGGGCCUAAUGAUCCGACGGUUGGAAGUGGGACCGCCGUCGCUCAUCGGAUAAAAGCUACCCCGGGGAUAACAGGCUUAUCUUCCCCAAGAGUCCAUAUCGACGGGAAGGUUUGGCACCUCGAUGUCGGCUCGUCGCAUCCUGGGGCUGUAUUCGGUCCCAAGGGUUGGGCUGUUCGCCCAUUAAAGCGGUACGCGAGCUGGGUUCAGAACGUCGUGAGACAGUUCGGUCCCUAUCUGCCGUGGGCGUAGGAGACUUGAGAGGACCUGUCCCUAGUACGAGAGGACCGGGAUGGACGGACCAAGGGUGUACCAGUUGUCACGCCAGUGGCAGGCGCUGGGUAGCCAAGUCCGGAAGGGAUAACCGCUGAAAGCAUCUAAGUGGGAAGCCUACCUCAAGAUAAGGUCUCCCUCCCUAAGUAGCCCGACGUCAGUCGGGAGAACGGGGUAAGACCCCUGGAAGACUACCAGGUUGAUAGGUCGCAAGUGUAAGCGCAGUGAUGUGUUGAGCUGAGCGAUACUAAUUGGUCGAGGGCUUGAUCACGCUU